AGUUUGCCCAAGAUCACACAGCUGGUAAAUGAAGAAGCUGAAAUCCAUUGAUUCAAUAGAUACCAUCGAGCAGCUUCUCCUAAAUGCCAAGCACAAUGAAGCAGCUGCUAAACAACCUAACCAAAGACUAUUUAUGUCAGCUGAUGAUGUUAAAAAAACUCUGAAGAGUCAGUCAAAAAGAGGGAACAUAUGACACAGGAAAAUACAGUCAUCUGGACACAGUAAGAAGAUGACCAUCUGCAAACCAAGAAAAGCAGAACCUCAUCAGACAUGGUUCUACCAGUACUUUGAUUGUGUACUUCCCAGCCUCCAGAACUGUGAGGAAAAAAUGUCUGUUGUUUAAGUCACUCAGUCUAUGUUAUCUUGUUAUGUAGCCAGAACUGAAUAAGGCAGAAGCCAUUGUACCAACCCUUGAUGGCAUAUCUCAAAACUAACUUCUUUUUAGGUGAGAAAAAUAAACCACUACUUGGCCAGCU